rnacentral:rRNA from 1 species
CGAACGGUAACAGGAAACAGCUUGCUGUUUCGCUGACGAGUGGCGGACGGGUGAGUAAUGUCUGGGAAACUGCCUGAUGGAGGGGGAUAACUACUGGAAACGGUAGCUAAUACCGCAUAACGUCGCAAGACCAAAGAGGGGGACCUUCGGGCCUCUUGCCAUCGGAUGUGCCCAGAUGGGAUUAGCUAGUAGGUGGGGUAACGGCUCACCUAGGCGACGAUCCCUAGCUGGUCUGAGAGGAUGACCAGCCACACUGGAACUGAGACACGGUCCAGACUCCUACGGGAGGCAGCAGUGGGGAAUAUUGCACAAUGGGCGCAAGCCUGAUGCAGCCAUGCCGCGUGUAUGAAGAAGGCCUUCGGGUUGUAAAGUACUUUCAGCGGGGAGGAAGGGAGUAAAGUUAAUACCUUUGCUCAUUGACGUUACCCGCAGAAGAAGCACCGGCUAACUCCGUGCCAGCAGCCGCGGUAAUACGGAGGGUGCAAGCGUUAAUCGGAAUUACUGGGCGUAAAGCGCACGCAGGCGGUUUGUUAAGUCAGAUGUGAAAUCCCCGGGCUCAACCUGGGAACUGCGUCUGAUACUGGCAAGCUUGAGUCUCGUAGAGGGGGGUAGAAUUCCAGGUGUAGCGGUGAAAUGCGUAGAGAUCUGGAGGAA